rnacentral:rRNA from 1 species
AUUUGGUUAUGGUUUUGAAAUGGCUGCGGCGUAAAUAUAUAUCAAUGUAGGGAAACCGAGAAGGGGAAACAAAGUCGUAAAUUUUUAGAAAGAAAUUUCUCGUCCCAAGGGUAGAACGCUACGCAAUCAAUGGAAGUUGGACCGGGUUAUACGUAAAAAAACAUUGCGAAAUGAGGUGCCAGCAGCCGCGGUUACUCCUCUUAUGGGAAGCCAUUGCAUUUCGGUGAUGUGAGGACAAAUCUGUGCGGGUCCAAAUGCAGGCUUUCUUUUAGGGUGAUAUCGGGGAAAGCUAAGCUGUCUAAAUGGGCAAAUAUAUACUCACGAAGCCUAGUAAAAAGGACCGGGAUUAGGUACCCCGUUACUCUAGGUGUCAAUUAAAAACUGGGGACUACGAACGUAUGUUUAAAACCCUAAGAUCUUGGCGGUGUGGUGUGACCAGGCAGGGGAACUUGACGCUUAAUUCGAUGAUCCGCGUUUAAUCUCAUCUUUCCUGGUAAAAUCAGGGGUAUAUCGCCGUUAAAGGGCAUAACGAAAUAGGAUAAAAAUGGCUUGCAAUUGGUUGACACCAGCAUAUUCAGGUAAGACGCCCCCAAUGGAAAGAGGUUAGUUGAGUUACUAAAUAAUAGAUGUUUUGGAGGUCGCUAAGGCAGGUCAGGCUGAAAUAGGACUUGCUAGUAAGUAGAGAUUAAAACGCUCUGCUGAAUAGAGAAAUGCCAUGCGUACAAAUCGCCCGUCACUCUCUUGGAAACCGGAGAUAAGUCGUAACACGGUAGGGGUAGGGGAACCUGUUCCUGAUUGAUCAUUCUUUUAGCU